GAGUAGAACUGCCCUGUAGGGUUUCCAAGGAGCAGCUGGUGGAUUCGAACCACUGACUUUUUGGUUAGCAGCCUAUCUCUUAACUGCUGCACCACCAGGGCUCCGAGUGCCACUAAAUUCUGGACACCAUUGGGUCACUAUAUUUCAAAAAAUAGUUCAAAAACUUCGUUUGAAGCUCCUUUCAAUGAUUAAGUCUCCCAAAAAUAUAUCUUUUGUUUAUUGACAUGAGCCUCCCAGACUUCCUCUCUUUUUGUUCAACUGUAGUAAAUUUGGCAUUAAAAGAUGAUAUUCAAUCCUUGCUUCCUUUAUAGAGUUGCACCGAAGUCAAUGAGAAUUUUAUGCAAAAGUAAAGGAUAAACUACGGCCCUGAAGUAGUCAUUUAGGAUAGUAGAACAGACCCACAAGACUAAAUUCAGUGCCUAGUAAGGGGAUCAUGCUAAAUUUAACAUUGCAGAAGAGUUUCCAGCUGUUGGCUUGAUAUGAAGGAGGAGAGCUGCUUUUAUGACUGAUUACUGUCCUCAGGAGGAAGAGGGAAGUGGAGCGAUGCUACAUUUCUUCGAUCCCUAAGGUGCAGUGCAUAUUCUGUGGCACUGAUUUGAGAAGGCUCAUAACUUUAAUGAUUCCCUGUGUCAAUUGUCAUGACUCUAGGCUUUGAAAAUCCUAACACCUAGGAAGGGAGGAACAGGAAUGUGUGUAACUAAAAAUGCAGAAAAAAAUAUAAUAAAGUCCAAGUAGCUUUUUGAUUUUUUAAAUUUUACACUAAUGAUAAGUCACUUGUGGUUCGUCACUCUAGCUUAAGUAACACGACUAGACUUUAUUCGCCAGCUGUACUUAAAGAUCGUGGUUUUAUGUUUUUAAAAAUGUCAUCUAUUCCUUCAAUCUCUUGUAAGUCCCCUGUAAUCUCUUUUUAAUGUAAGCACACUGGAGUUUUCCCUUUUGUUUGCUGCCCUUGCAUUAUUUACUUUGAUCUGCUGUGAGAAAAUCUGAAAGUGUGUUGUCCUAAAUGCUAGCAUCUCACCAACAUGAUUUGAGGCCUUGUACUUCGCAUUGAAGAAAAAGGCUCUUGUGUGAAGACGCAGGUUUUGUUUAGUUCUCUCUCCCUGGUGGGAGCCUUAAUUGCAUUUUCUCUGUCUCACAGUGGCUGGCUAAGGAGUGCCUGCCUUCCCUGCUGAUGCUGAAGUUUUCAAGCUCUAUUACUCUGUGACGGAGAAAAUUCCUUGGUCCAGGAAGAAAAGGGUCAGGUUCCACUCUUGGAGGGGAGGUACUCUCUAUUAUCAUCUCUGCAGUCUGGUCACUUAGCACAAUAUCUGAGACAUAACAGAUGCUCAGCAGACAAAUUUUGUUCAGACCAGAAAGAUUUUUCAACCAUCUGAGGUAUGUUUUACACCAGUGAUAAAAUAUUUUCUCUAAAGUAUUGGAAACACUGGUGGCGUAGUGGUUAAGAGCUAAGUCUGCUAACCAAAAGGUCGACAGUUUGAAUACACCAGUCACUCCUUGGAAACCGUAUGGGAAAGUUCUACUCUAUCCUAUACGGUCGCUAUGAGUGGGAAUCGACUAGACGGCAGUGGCUUAAGUAAGUGCUUUAGAAUCAUCUGAAAUAAAAAUGAUAUAAAGGUAAAAGCUUUCAGUCAGUUGUUAUAUCUUUGAUUCAUUAUAUAUGUAACAGUGCUGAUGUCAUAUAGACUAAUUAGUACAUCAUAGAGAAGAAACUCUACCCGUAGCCUCAUUGAAACUCUCUCAAUUACCUUAACUUGCCAACGUCUUUUUAACUUUUAGAUAUUUGCAUAUGUUGUUGCUUUGAUCUGGAAGUCUCCUCCUUCUUCCCCUUGCUAGGCUAAUCCUCACUCAGGCCACAGUUAGCUAUUAAGAUCUCCAUGCAUAUUUUCUUGAUCCCCUCACCCAAGACUGGAUUAGGAACAAGAUAUGUGAUAUUUUUUGGUUUGUGGAGACUUCUAACACAUACCAUCCCAUAUGAUCUUCAUUACCUUCAUUCAUGGAAACCCUAAUAGUAUAGUGGUUAAGAGUUUGACUGCUAACCAGAAGGUCAGCAGUCCGAAUCCACCACGCACUCCUUGGAAACCCUAUGGGGCAGUUCUACUCUGUCUUAUAGGGUCAGUAUGAGUCGGAUUCGACUCCACGGCAACGGGUUUGUUUUUUUUUUUACCUUCAUUCAUUAACCUUAUGAGUCACCCGCAAUAUGCCAGGCACUGAAACAGAAGAGUGGCUUCCAGAAUUCUUGUUCUCAGGAAGCUCAUCACUCAGAGGGGUGAGAGGUUAGUCUGUAUAACUCAAUGUGAUGAGUACAAAAACUGAGGUUUGCACAAAUAGAAACAGAAUAAAUAUGUGGGUGUAGUUGGGCAGUGGUGGCCAGGAAUGGUGAGGAGAGAAACAGGGAAAUGAGUUUGCUGAGUGUUGAAGGCCGCAGGGAGUUUUCCAGGGAAAGAAGGGAAUGGAGGAGAUUUGGAGGGGAAACAAGUAACUCCGUGACUCCGUGAAACAAAAUGUUUUUUGUUUGCUUUGUUUUUUUUAUUAAUUGAGAUCCUGCUACAGUUUAGGUUAAACGUACAGCAAUCUGUAAGGAUUAUUUCAUUUACUUUACAAAAUGACUCAGUAAGAUUGGUACUUUUACCAGGCAAAAGUUCUAAGGCACAGAAAAGUUAACAUGCCUUACCCAAGGUAUUCUUAGCUUUGUCAUUUUCUGCAAUCUGUUCUCUAAAUUAUGAUGUUACAGUAUUACAAUUGUCCUUUUCAAAUAUCUGGGUGACUGUAGGGUUGCUAUGAGUCGGAAUCGACUUGACGGCAACUUCUUUUUUUGUUGUUGUUGUUUUUGGUGGAGUGAUGUCAAGUUUUCUUCUAAAAUUCAAAAACAGAACUAUCAAAAAAUUGUCCUUUUUUCCUUGCUUGUUUUAUAUAUUUGUUAGGUAUUUAGUGCUUGUUUUGCAUGUUAAAUUUUUAUAUUUUCAGUAUAUCCAUAGCUUAAGAAAGCCUGACUUAGAUGGGACGAAAGAAGAAAAAGUAUCAAAGCUGAAUUUUAUGAAAUGGCACGCAAAUAUUGCUGAAAGAUGAGAAAAACUCCCUUACCUGAAUCUGUUUAUUUGAAGUACUAAAAUCAAAAUAUCAUAAAAGUCCCACUUUCUAGUAUCUACUUUAACACAACCUUCCCUUUGUAAUAAUCUGAUAAACAAAUGACAUGUUAGACUAGUGUUCUUCCUAUUAUAACAAUUUAGUAGGGUAUAAUGGAGCAAAUUUAUUCUGUUUCCGAGUUGUAUUUUUUGGAAAUGUUCUUAAACCAGACCUGAUAAAUACAUACAACUUCAGGGGGGCUCUUACAAUGCAUCUUAAGAAAUAUGCUUUAGAGAUAUGAUUUCAACAUAAAUCAGUAGAGAAAAAUUUGCAGUUUACAUUUCUUUUAUUAUAAAAGAAAGCAAUAGUUACGUCUUUUGAAAGUUAGCAUUUUUAACAAAAUUGUCAACUCAAAUUUUUCUUAAAAUUGGAGGCAUUUGGUCAACAUUAUAAAGCUAUAAUCCGUGAAAAGUUAAUUAAAGAACUAUUGAAUGCUCCCAUUGGUGACUGAGGGGAAAUUUGAAAACAUAAAUCACGGAAUCUGUUCAUUUAGCUUUUGCUCUAUGGUCAAAGGAAAAGAUCUGUUAAAGAAUAUAUAUUUAAAAAUUAAUUGCUUUUCGAGUUAUGUAAACAUCAAAGUAUCACAAAAAACUAGAAAGAAAGUGAAUUCAUUGUCAGAAUUCUGGCUUCUAAUACUGACUGGUCAAGACUCAAUGAGUCAUCUAACCCACUGGAAUACAGUGUCUUCAUCUGUAACUUAAAUGAUUUACUUGUUGAUUUAUAAGAUCCAGUUCAGUUCUAAUAGUUUUAUUUUAUAAUUAAUUUAAUAAUCCAUAUAUAAUGAAUGCAGUGGUAGAGAAGGGUGAGAAUAUUGUACGCAAAUAUUUAAAAAUGUAAAUGACUGGCUAGUUAAAAUUUUAAAUGACUGGCUGAGGUCAGCUGCCACUCUUCCAUAGGCUGUCUAUAAGUUUCAGUGAGUUUUUACUUCUAAAAUGGUGGGCAUAUAUAGAUGCAAUCAUUCUGUCAGUAUAAUUACAUACAGAUUCAUAUAUAUUGUUAAAAGUGGGGUAGGAUAUGAUUGAGAACACUUCUUUUCUUAUUCAUGCAUGAUUUCCUAGAAGAGGGGUAAUGAUACCAAGUUUGAUAAGCACCUACAAUCUACCAUGACAUUUUUGAAAAUUUUGUCCAUGUAAACUUUAUAAUAGCCCUGUGAUGCAGAUAUCAUUAUUCCUAUUUCACUAUUGAGGAAACUGAGACUCAUUGUUCAAGUUACAAAACAGCUUGGUGGAGAAAGGCUGCAAGCCAUGAUUGACUCUGAAGUUCUUUUUCUCUUCACUACACUGUGCUGUCUCCCAGCAGAAGUGUAGGUGAUCCCUGAGCCCCUUUUUGCUAUUUGAAGAAAUGUCCCUGUCCAUGAAAAUCACGACAUGGUGUUGGUUGUAAACAGAGUGGGUAAAACAGUUAAGUACGUUGGAUAAAAGGAAUUAUGGGGAGCCGAGAGACUAGAUAGGAUAAUUUUGGUUGAUAAUUAAGAUAGGAAACUAAUGGGUAGACCUGUACAGGAUGCUUAUCUGAUGUUUAGGAGUCCCUGGGUGGUGGAGUCGGUUAAGCACUUGACUACUCUCUGAAAGGUUGAUGAUUCGAACCCACCCAGAGGCCUGGCAUUUUGCUUCUGAAAGUUCACUGCCUUGAA